rnacentral:snRNA from 1 species
CAACUUAAACCUUUCAGGGGAAAUACCAUAGUCAUGAAAGUGGUUUUUCCAAGGUAAGGCUUAUCCAUUAUACUUUGGGUGUACUGAUCCUUGUGAUUUCCUUAAAUGUGGGAACUUAGCUGCAUAAUUUGUGUUAACUGGGAAUUGCAUUUGUGAUUUUCCUGG